rnacentral:rRNA from 1 species
UUCGAAUAUUACUGGGGGCGUAAAAGGCGCGCGUAGGGUGUUUCAGUUAAGGUGGGAUGUAAAAUCCCAGGGCUCAACCGGGGGAAGUUGCAUCCAAAAUCUGGCGAGCUAGAGUAUGGUAGAGGGGUGGGUGAAAUUUCGUGUGUAGCGGUGAAAUGCGUAGAUAUAGGAGAGGAACACCAGUGGGGAGGGCGACCACCUGGCCUGAUAUUGACAGUGAGGGUGUGAAAGUGUGGGGGAGCAAACAGGAUUAGAUACCAUGGUAGUCCACGCUGUAAACGAUGUCAACUAUCCGUUGGGAGCCUUGAGCUCUUAGUGGCGCAGUUAACGCAUUAAGUUGUCCGCUUGGGGAGUACGGCCGCAAGGUUAAAACUCAAAUGAAUUGACGGGGGCCGGCACAAGCGGUGGAUCAUGUGGUUUAAUUGGAAGCAACCAGAAUACCCUUACCAGGCGUUGACAUCCAAUGAACUUUCCAGAGAUGGAUUGGGGCUUUCGGGAACAUUGAGACGGGUGCUGCAUGGCUGUGGUCAGCUAGGGUCUUGAGAUUUUGGGUUAAGUCCCGUAACGAGCGCAACCGUGGCCUUCCGUUACAUCCAAUCAUGGUUGGUCCCCAUAAGGAGACACCUGAGGACAAACCGGAGGAAGGGGGGUAGCCUUCCAAGUCAUCAUGCCCUUUACGACCUGGGCAUCUCACCGGUACCCAGGGAAGGCCACAAGGCUUUACCAGACUCUAGGUGGACCUAUUCCCAUGCAGUUCCCAGGUUUAGCCCGGGCAUUUCACAACCAACUUAACGAACCACGGACGCGCGCGUAACGCCCAGUAAUUCCGAUGCGGGGAAUCCGCUUCCGGGCCUUGUCCACUCCUCCCGUCACACCAUGGGAGUGGGAUGCACCAGAAGCAUCUAGUCUAACCUUGGGGAGGACGCUUACCCAUCGCUGUGCAACAUGAAC